CUCACCUCUGCAUACACUAAUUAUAAUGUUUGAGGAUUCUGAAACGGUUCAAUUUUGGCUAUAUAAGGAAACAGGGAAUCUAGGAGUGUCUCUGUUAUAACGUUUAAGGGUGCAGAAACGGUUCAAAUUGAGCUAUAUAAGGAAACAGGGAAUCUAGGAGUAUCUCUAUUGUAAGGUUUAAGGAUUCUGAAACGGUUCAAUUUUGGCGAUAUAAGGAAAUGGGGAAUCUAGGAGUGUUUCUGUUAUAAGGUUUAAGGAUUCUGAAAUCGUUUAAUUUUGUCUAUAUAAGGAAACAGGGAAUCUAGGAGUGUUUCUGUUAUAAGGUUUAAGGAUUCUGAAACGGUUCAAUUUUGGCUAUAUAAGGAAACAGGGAAUCUAGGAGCAUGUCACUUAACCCAUGCGAAUUCAGAGAAGGACAC